UAACACGUGGGUAACCUGCCUGUAAGACUGGGAUAACUCCGGGAAACCGGGGCUAAUACCGGAUGGUUGUUUGAACCGCAUGGUUCAAACAUAAAAGGUGGCUUCGGCUACCACUUACAGAUGGACCCGCGGCGCAUUAGCUAGUUGGUGAGGUAACGGCUCACCAAGGCAACGAUGCGUAGCCGACCUGAGAGGGUGAUCGGCCACACUGGGACUGAGACACGGCCCAGACUCCUACGGGAGGCAGCAGUAGGGAAUCUUCCGCAAUGGACGAAAGUCUGACGGAGCAACGCCGCGUGAGUGAUGAAGGUUUUCGGAUCGUAAAGCUCUGUUGUUAGGGAAGAACAAGUACCGUUCGAAUAGGGCGGUACCUUGACGGUACCUAACCAGAAAGCCACGGCUAACUACGUGCCAGCAGCCGCGGUAAUACGUAGGUGGCAAGCGUUGUCCGGAAUUAUUGGGCGUAAAGGGCUCGCAGGCGGUUUCUUAAGUCUGAUGUGAAAGCCCCCGGCUCAACCGGGGAGGGUCAUUGGAAACUGGGGAACUUGAGUGCAGAAGAGGAGAGUGGAAUUCCACGUGUAGCGGUGAAAUGCGUAGAGAUGUGGAGGAACACCAGUGGCGAAGGCGACUCUCUGGUCUGUAACUGACGCUGAGGAGCGAAAGCGUGGGGAGCGAACAGGAUUAGAUACCCUGGUAGUCCACGCCGUAAACGAUGAGUGCUAAGUGGUUAGGGGGG
rnacentral:rRNA from 2 species